ACGGGAGGCAGCAGUGGGGAAUUUUGGACAAUGGGGGCAACCCUGAUCCAGCCAUGCCGCGUGCGGGAAGAAGGCCUUCGGGUUGUAAACCGCUUUUGUUAGGGACGAAAAGGAACCGGCCAAUACCUGGUUCUGCUGACGGUACCUAAAGAAUAAGCACCGGCUAACUACGUGCCAGCAGCCGCGGUAAUACGUAGGGUGCGAGCGUUAAUCGGAAUUACUGGGCGUAAAGCGUGCGCAGGCGGUUUCGUAAGAUAGGUGUGAAAUCCCCGGGCUCAACCUGGGAACUGCACUUGUGACUGCGAAGCUAGAGUUUGUCAGAGGGAGGCGGAAUUCCACGUGUAGCAGUGAAAUGCGUAGAUAUGUGGAAGAACACCAGUGGCGAAGGCGGCCUCCUGGGACAUGACUGACGCUCAUGCACGAAAGCGUGGGGAGCAAACAGGAUUAGAUACCCUGGUA
rnacentral:rRNA from 1 species